AACGAACGCUGGCGGCGCGCCUAAUACAUGCAAGUCGAGCGAGAAGACGUAGCAAUACGUUUGUAAAGCGGCGAACGGGUGAGGAAUACAUGGGCAACCUACCCUCGAGUGGGGAAUAACUAGCCGAAAGGUUAGCUAAUACCGCGUACGCUCCUUGGACUUCGGUUCAGGGAGGAAAGCGAUACCGUGGGUAUCGCGCUCUUGGAUGGGCUCAUGUCCUAUCAGCUUGUUGGUGAGGUAACGGCUCACCAAGGCUUCGACGGGUAGCUGGUCUGAGAGGACGAUCAGCCACACUGGCACUGCGACACGGGCCAGACUCCUACGGGAGGCAGCAGUAAGGAAUAUUGCGCAAUGGGCGAAAGCCUGACGCAGCGACGCCGCGUGGGGGAUGAAGGUCUUCGGAUUGUAAACCCCUUUCGGUAGGGAAGAUGGACGAGCAAUCGUUCGGACGGUACCUCCAGAAGCAGCCACGGCUAACUUCGUGCCAGCAGCCGCGGUAAC
rnacentral:rRNA from 1 species